rnacentral:rRNA from 1 species
UACGUAGGGUGCGAGCGUUAUUCGGAAUUACUGGGCGUAAAGUGUGCGCAGGCGGCCGCGCAAGUCGAGUGUGAAAGCCCCGGGCUUAACUUGGGAAUUGCGCUCGAAACUACGUGGCUGGAGUGUGGCAGAGGAAGGUGGAAUUCCAGGUGUAGCGGUGAAAUGCGUAGAGAUCUGGAGGAACACCGAUGGCGAAGGCAGACUUCUGGGCCAACACUGACGCUCAUGCACGAAAGCGUGGGGAGCAAACAGG